GCCGGCGCUUCUGGGCUUGUACCCUCGUUCCCUCCUCCCCCCACCCCCCCCCGCCCCCGCCAUGGCGACACCGGGGGGCCUGAUCCGGGCCGCGCGCCGCGGGACCCUCGCCCAGAAUAUGGUCGUGGAUCGUAUUUUCUCUGGCAUACAGCCAACUGGGACACCUCAUCUGGGUAACUACCUUGGAGCCAUUCAGAACUGGGUGAAUCUGCAGGAAGAGUACAGCUCAGUGUUAUACAGCAUUAUGGACAUGCACUCUCUCACCAUGCCGAAGGAACCAGCUCUCCUGCGUCAAAACAUACUGGACACCACUGCUGCCAUCCUUGCCUGUGGGAUCGACCCCAAGAAGUGCUUCCUGUUCCGACAGUCGCUGGUUCCUGAGCAUGCAGAACUUGCCUGGAUUCUUGGGUGCAUAACUAAUGUGCCACGUUUACUACGCUUGCCCCAAUGGAAGAUGAAGCGUGCCAGCCAGAGUAAUGGUGGAACUGUUGGUUUGUUGACUUACCCUGUGCUUCAAGCAGCAGAUAUUUUGCUGUACAAGUCGACACAUGUUCCUGUUGGAGAAGAUCAAGUCCUGCACCUGGAACUAGCCCAAGAUAUAGCACAACAUUUCAACAAGAAAUACGGAGAAUUCUUUCCUGUGCCCAAAGCCAUUUUAAGUACAACAAAGAAAAUAAAAUCCCUCAGAGAUCCAACGGUGAAGAUGUCUAAAUCAGACCCACAGAAGUUAGCUACUGUUAACAUAGUGGACAGCCCUGAUGAGAUAGUGUUGAAAUUCCGCAAGGCUGUGACUGACUUUACCUCUGAGGUGACCUAUGACCCAGUCAGUCGCCCUGGUGUCUCCAAUCUGGUGUCCAUUCAUGCUGCAGUAUCAGGACUUAGCGUAGAAGAAGUGCUGCACCAAUCUCUUGGUCUUGACACUGCUCACUACAAAAUGGUGGUAGCAGAGGCAGUUAUUCAAAAAUUUGCACCAAUCAGGAAUGAAAUCAAGAAACUCCAGGGGGACAAAUCCCAUCUGAUAAAGGUUUUAGAGGCUGGAGCAGAGAAAGCCAAAGAACUGGCUACCCCCAUUUAUCAAGAAAUAAGAAGACUGGUGGGAUUUCAGUAGAAACUGCUGAGUAGUUGUGAGGACAUUUGCUCCUGGGACAGCUAUUUUGUUACUUGUAUCAUCUUAAUCAUUUCAGUUUGAAACAGACACUUUUUUUUUCCCAUUGCAAAAUCCAAGUAGAAUAUCUAAGAUGUUUGCAUUAAAAAUAUGCGUGAAGCCAGUUCUUUCCAAUGGGACCAGCAGUGAGCUUAUCAGGAUGAUCAGAGGAGGAGGGUGCAGGCAAUCCCAGUUCAUGAAGAAAUCCCACAAAAGCAGAAGACAAGGUUGUCCAUCUCAAUAGGUUGUGAGACAAGACUUCUGUUUAACUUUGAAUUUCCAACCAAGCUCUCUAUCUCAUAGUCUUUUGGUGACUGAAUGGCAUCCAAAGUAACAGAAAAUUCCUUCUUGUCACAAAAGAUUCUGUGCUGAUUCUCACCAUCUUUUCUAUAUGCUUUUGUUGAUGAUGAUGAUUGUUUUUGUUUUGUUUUAUUAUUGAUUUUUGCAUGUGCUAAUGCUCAUAUUAUGAAAGAUUUGACAGUAUUUAUUUUGCUUUGUGCCAAUGAAAAAUCAUUCUACGUGCAACACUUCCAUAUUGUUAUGCAGAGACCACAAUUUGAUGAUUAUUUUGCUUUUAGGCAGCUUUGUUUUCAACAAUUAUUUCAUAUAAAAUGGAAUGCCAACCUACACUGAGGGAUGAGCAUAAGUGCCCAGUUGCAAUGGACAGUUAAAAAUCUGGGUAGAGAUUUUACUGCUGUGGUAAAUUGCUGUCACAGAACACCAUGACUUGAAGAUGAGAUUAUACACUACAUGAGUGGUCUCAUACUGCCCGUGGACAUGAAACAAAGCACUGAGCUUAAUGUCUGUUGUGCUGUCAUGCUCUCAGCACUCCAACAUGGCUGUGAGGCAGGAACGGCAAAUCUAUGCCACACCAGAAGGUUCGAUCAGUUCCAGAUGUGCUAUAUUUGGCCUAUCUGCAAGAUGAAAUGUCAGGACGAGAGUUCCAACACUGAAGUCCUUACAAGUUAUUAAAAGUUUGGUAGUAACAGCAUGCUUGUAAAAGCCUGGGUAUGGGAGCAUGGUCAUAGUCUCAUUCAUAUGGCUGACAUGACAAGUCACAAGUCUGUGAUGAAGUAAGCCAUCUGCUUCCUUUAUACAAUCAGUGUAAAUAAAGACUGUGUGCGUCUAAUCUGAAGGGUUAAUGGAUUAACUCCCACAGUUGGGAAGCAGCAGCUUACAACAGAGUAAGGUGGAAUCACAUCUCUCUUACUGCCGUAAAUCAUUCUGAAACAAGAUGCUCACAGUUUAGGUGGGAACUUCAGGUUGUACAAAGCAGAAGCACGAGAUCCUGCGUGGACAACAUCAGUUGUCCCAUGUGUUCUCCUAAGUAUGUCUUCAGUCAUAGUCUGGUUUUAUUGUCAUCCAUCCACAUGAAGCAAUGGUCAGGUACUGAGAAAGUCAAUGAAACUUCCGUUAGACGCAUUGAACAUGUGUUCUUUUUGCUGUCUUUGGUGAAAACUUCUUUCAUGAUACCCCAGCAUCUACAAAAACAUAUUGUUAAGCUAAGUACAGAUGAGAUUUAUCAACAUUGUUACUCUCUGAUGUUAUCCAGUGUUUCUGGUGUAGGUGGUCUCUGCCUUCAUUCACCCUGUUUACUUUCAUGUUUCCUUCCCUAGAUCAUACCGCUCUCUGAAUAAAGAAAGAUCUUGAAUGUUA